AGAGUUUGAUCCUGGCUCAGAGUGAACGCUGGCGGCGUGCCUAACACAUGCAAGUCGAACGAGAACGGAUUACAGCUUGCUGUAAUUGUCAGCUAAGUGGCGCACGGGUGAGUAAUAUAUAGUUAAUCUGCCCCAAAGAAGAGAAUAAUUGUUGGAAACGACUUGUAAUGCUCUAUAUGCCUUUAAGACAUAAGUUUGCAAGGGAAAUAUUUAUAGCUUUGGGAUGAGACUGUACGGUAUCAGCUAGUUGGUGAGGUAAUGGCCCACCAAGGCUAUGACAUCUAACUGGUUUGAGAGGAUGAUCAGUCACACUGGAACUGAGACACGGUCCAGACUCCUACGGGAGGCAGCAGUGGGGAAUAUUGCACAAUGGAGGAAACUCUGAUGCAGCAACGCCGCGUGGAGGAUGACACAUUUCGGUGCGUAAACUCCUUUUAUAUGAGAAGAUAAUGACG
rnacentral:rRNA from 1 species